CAAUACUGGCGCACGGCGCACGGGCGCGUAACACGUGGGUAACCUGCCCUGCAAUGGGGGAUAACCCGCCGAAAGGCGGGCUAAUACCGCAUGACAUUCCGGUGGCUUCGGACGCCGGAAUCAAAGCCCGCAAGGGCGUUGGAGGAGGGGCCCGCGGCCGAUUAGCUAGUUGGUGAGGUAACGGCUCACCAAGGCUUUGAUCGGUAGCCGGUCUGAGAGGAUGGUCGGCCACACUGGAACUGAGACACGGUCCAGACUCCUACGGGAGGCAGCAGUGGGGAAUCUUGCGCAAUGGGCGAAAGCCUGACGCAGCGACGCCGCGUGGGGGAUGAAGCUUCUCGGAGUGUAAACCCCUUUCGACCCGGACGAAACGCCCGCAAGGGUUUGACGGUACGGGUAUAAGAAGCCCCGGCUAACUACGUGCCAGCAGCCGCGGUAAGACGUAGGGGGCCAGCGUUGCUCGGAAUUACUGGGCGUAAAGGGUUCGUAAGCGGUGCGGUAAGUCGGAAGUGAAAUCUCUGGGCUUAACUCAGAGGCUGCUUUCGAAACUGCCGUGCUAGAGUGCGGGAGAGGCGAGUGGAAUUGCAGGUGUAGC
rnacentral:rRNA from 1 species